AUAUAUAUAUAUAUAUAUACACAUAUAUAUAUAUAUACAACAUUGAAUAAAGAGGUAUGACCUACCCUUCACUAUAAUGUUGCUUUUCAACUGCCAGACCGAUCUUUUUAUGAAACCCGUUGGGAUUUUAACACAGGAUUUAGUUAGGCAAUCGGAGACAAAGCUCUGUUCUGGCACACUAAAGGAAACAAACCUAAGUUGAAAGAUUUUUUGCUGCUCUGUAUGUUCUAGGAGGGAUAAGGAAAGUUGCUGCAGAGUUUUAUCAAGAGUGCAUCAUUUGAGUCGAGAUGGGGAUGCACAAAUUAAGAAGAAUCUUUUCAGGCUGUCCAUAGGAAUCCAACUCUGGGGCUGAAUAACGUACCGUGCUUUUUCAGGAUGGUUUUGUGUUGGUACAGUCUCUACUUCUGGUCUCCAACUUACUCCCUUGUGCUGUCGCUAUUGUUGAUGUUAUUGCUGUUGUUGUUGUUGUUGUUGUGGCAGUACGAACAGGCAAUGUUUGAUGCCAUAUCCUGUAUAUCCAUGUUCUUCACAGACGAUUGUGUAGCGAGCUCAAGUGUCAGUUGAAAUUGAUCCUACGAUGUUUCGUCCGUCUGGGGAAGAAAUAAGGAACAGUAGUAAUACAGGGAGACCGAAAUGUUUUCUGUUAUUUUUCUGAUUUUGAGAACGGUUGAGUUAGAAAUGUACUACCAAUAUAUUGUCGCUUCCAUAGAUUCCUUCUUUUUGUAUCCUUUUUAUCUACUUCCUUUCUUUUCUGCUGAAUCCCUAUUAGAAUACGAUUCACUGCGACCCAGUGAUACGCAGAUAGCUUUCUCCAGACACUUUGAGUAGCCAGCUCAGAAGUUUAAGUAGAUAUCCUCCUUUAGAUCCAGCGUCCACUGAUGCAAUGCAAUCGUUAUCAUAGAGAAAUUUGAAUUUCAAGUGGUGAGAAUGUAUGUCGUGGGCCAGAUGUUGACCCAUGAAGCAUUAGGACGUCAUGUGUGACACAAACACAUGUUCAGUCACCCCGGAAGAUGGUCGGCCAUGACAGGAUUAAGGGUUGGACCAGGGAGUAUAGAACCAGAUCUGAUUUGAUAGGCUUAUUCAGGGAGGUGGGGGAUGGUAUGACAAUGGACCAAUGGAGAGACUCAAUUAAAACUCUCCCGGACCCUCCACAGUUUCAAGACCGACUGCCAUGAACGAAGGUGAUCAGGGAAAGUCAAGGUGGCCGACCAGAGCAGCCGAGAGAAAAGUGCUUUUGUCUUGUUAGGACUGAACGCUGAAAGUCCCAUGUUUGCCAGUGUGUCAUUGUGCUUUGUGGGACCUCUUCAGCACUGCGUGUGGUGAUUUAGGACCCAGACUUGCAUCAUCCUGUCAUGUGCUAGCAGGCCAUUAGUUAAUUGGGCACCUGGCUGUCCGUUUCGCAAAGACCUAGGGAUUCGAUGUGGUCAAAGUGGUGUAAAAUGCUCUAAUAGACAUUUUGUUUUCACGAAAGGCCUUGUGUGAUCAACUCAUAUCAACACAUGAUGAGUUCAUUCAUGAUUCACAGUAGACUCGUGCCUUUAAGAACACGUGAGGCGUUUUUAAAGGCAGCUUUGAAGCUACUCAAAUCGAGCCUGGCCAUCCCCUUGCAAGCCGGACAAUGAGACGAGUCAGAUGUCUGUGAGGGACAGGCAGGCGAGAUGAGACGAGUCAGAUCUCUGUGAGGGACAAGCAGGCGAGAUAAGACGAGUCAGAUCUCUGUGAGGGACAGGCAGGCGAGAUGAGACGAGUCAGAUCUCUAUGAGGGACAGGCAGGCGAGAUGAGACGAGUCCGAUCUCUGUGAGGGACAGGCAUGCUAUGAGACGAGUCAGAUCUCUGAAUGACAGGCAGGUGAGAUGAAUCAGAUCUCUGUGCGUGAGUCAGGUAAGACGAGACAUUAACUCUUCCUCUUUAAAGUAUCUGAUGUUUUUCUACACAGGAGUGAUAUGUUGGUCCUACACAAACAAACAAAUAAACAAACUGCUGCCUGAUAGGACAAAAACAUAGAAUCAACGGGCACACCAUUAAAGCCAUUGUGGUGUGUUAAACACUGCCUGUACCUAUACCUGAUAUCCCCUUGUCCUUUCUGUUGUAACACUAUCUAGAGGUCUGUUUACAAUAUAAACACACAUCUCUAGAUAAUGUCCAUCUGUUUGGCUGCUGCACACUUAGACCAAAUACAUUCCUGAUUGAUCAAUCAAUGACAAUACAACCAUAAGAGCAAACAAUGCCAUCUAGUUUUAACUCAUGCUCAUCUUGGAUGUGAUGUUUUAACUGAAUGAUUCAUCACUGAUCACUGAACUUACUUGGAGGGGAAAAAAUGAACAAAAAUAACUAAGAUAUGUACAGUGCAGGCUAUGGUGGCACAAUCGAUGAAAAAGAAUGAACUUUUUGAGAGAAACUAUAAAUAAUGUACUAUAUUAUUUUAUUUUAUCAGCAUGCUUUGUUGUGUUUUUUGUAAAUAAUGAAUUUUAAAAAGUUACUACUAAUAAUCUAAAAUGACAUAAUAUAGAAUGGCUUCCA
ensembl:lncRNA